rnacentral:rRNA from 1 species
CCUACGGGAGGCAGCAGUGGGGAAUAUUGCGCAAUGGGCGAAAGCCUGAACCAGCCAAGUAGCGUGAAGGAUGACUGCCCUACGGGUUGUAAACUUCUUUUAUAAAGGAAUAAAGUGAGGCACGUGUGCCUUUUUGUAUGUACUUUAUGAAUAAGGAUCGGCUAACUCCGUGCCAGCAGCCGCGGUAAUACGGAGGAUCCGAGCGUUAUCCGGAUUUAUUGGGUUUAAAGGGAGCGUAGAUGGGUUGUUAAGUCAGUUGUGAAAGUUUGCGGCUCAACCGUAAAAUUGCAAUUGAUACUGGCAGCCUUGAGUACAGGUGAGGUAGGCGGAAUUCGUGGUGUAGCGGUGAAAUGCUUAGAUAUCACGAAGAACUCCGAUUGCGAAGGCAGCUUACUAAACUGCCACUGACAUUGAUGCUCGAAAGUGUGGGUAGCAAACAGGAUUAGAUACCCUGGUAGUC